rnacentral:rRNA from 1 species
UACAGGGGGGGCAAGCGUUGUUCGGAAUUACUGGGCGUAAAGGGUGUGUAGGCGGUUGUUUAAGUUUGGUGUGAAAUCUCCCGGCUCAACUGGGAGGGUGCGCCGAAUACUGAAUGACUAGAGUGCGGGAGAGGUGAGUGGAAUUCCUGGUGUAGCGGUGAAAUGCGUAGAUAUCAGGAGGAACACCGGUGGUGUAGACGGCUCACUGGACCGUAACUGACGCUGAGACACGAAAGCGUGGGUAGCAAACAGG